rnacentral:miRNA from 1 species
UGUUGUUAUUUUGUUGUUUUUGUCUUUUGAGCAGGAUAUUGCUGUGUAGUCCAGCUGGCAAUGAAUUCACUGUGUAGCUCCAGCUGGCCUCUAACUCAUGGCAAUCUUCCUGCCUCAGCCUC